GCUUAACUGGCAGUAAAUAUCCAGAGGUCAUAGCUUUUAGCAUAACUUUGAAAAUAAAUGAAAAAAGUAACUGAAUAAAAUCAUUAUUAAUGAUGGAAAAGAAACACAGAAGAUCAGCCUCAUAAUAUUUUAAAGUCAUGUGGUGAGCAGUUUGCUUGACCAUACUCUGUCCAUGCUGUACUACCUCUCCACAGGCUGAGGAAAAGCUGGGCCAAUUGAACAAGGACCAAAGCCUCCUAAACUGGCUGCAAAGAUGAUGAUCAAACAACUAAUCUAAUGAAGAAGAGGCCAACACUCUGGAGAAGAGAUAAGCCUGCCUGGAAGAGUUGACUACUCCAAGGAAAAACAGGAACACCAACAAUGACUGAAGAUCAUGGUUGAUAGAGACCUGAAACAAAACAAAACCUAAGAGAAUGAAGGUAAAAGGAUAAAAAAACUCAAAGACUUCUACUGAAUUACUUUCUUAGUUUGAAUUUUCUUCCCGAGAAGGACCUGAAAUAAGAAUGUGCAUGGAAAGAUUUUAUUUGGGAGAUGAUCGCAGAAAACAAACACGGGAAAAUGGGCAAAAGCAGAGAAAUGAAGCACAAUAAAAUAUAAACUAAGAGCCAGGACUCGAUCCAUCAAUAACUAUGAGAAAUGAUAUGAGACAAAUCUCGGGGUCACUGUGGUAACUGAUGUGGUUGCUAGAACAGACCUCUACUAACUUUCACCCUUGAUUGGUGUAUUAAGUAUUUUAUCUGAAAUGUAACUGUAUGAAUUAACCUGAUACUAAAAAUGCUUUAAAAAUAUAGAGAUAUAAAUUCAUGAAAGGGAAAGGUGGAAUAGGACUGAAGACUUACUUCAUUUACAGCUAUUGGUGAGCACAGAAACUAUUAAGUUGGGAAUCUGACUGUUACUGAUGAAUCAGGAUGACUGGCAGCAACAAGCUUGAAAACUAAAUGAAAGAGGACAGUUAGGAAAACACGCUGCAGAACAAUUCGCUUCUUCUGCAGCUAUACCAGGCCCACAACUUUUGCUAACAUUUACUUUUAUUUAUCAGCUCAUUUAUGGCUACAUGUUUGUGCACUUUUCUUGAGGUAAAAGAAACAAUUCAACUAUCACCUAGUGUGUCUGAGAUAACUAUUAGAUAAUGAAGAAAAGAUUGAAUUAAUCAUUGUAUGAGCUCAUCUGUAAUUAUGAAGAAAGUUUUUACCUAGAAAAUAUAUAUUGGUCCAUUUAAAGAAUUUAAUGAUGUGAAGUAGAACAGCAUGGGAGUGGGUGAUAAUUGAAAAAAAAGUACACAGAACUAAGUCAUGAAGAAGCCUAACAUGAGUUUAGCUUAUAAAAUUCAACACAUAAAGAAGACUAAGAAUUAAUAGGCAAUGAGACUGAAGGAAAAGCGGUAACUUUAAAGUCCUGGAUGCCCAACAGUGUUUCAGGAAAGGCUUCCUAUUGUAUGUAGUAAUAUGAAUCUAAACAUAACCUCAAAAGGAGAAGUUAUAUGGAGCGAUCAGAGAAGAGAAUGCUACCUGGAUGGUGUUUGUGACAGAAUAGAGAAGAAUAGAAUCGUUAACACUGUGCACACAAGAGCUUGUAUGGAGUUUUUCAGCACGGAAAUGAAGAGGCAGCUGCAGCAAGACAGGAUCCAUAAAGGUUCAUGUUUGCUUUUGUUUUUGAAAUUGGAUAAUAUUAUAGUUGGGACGAAAAACUAUCUCUCAAAAAGUUCACCUAUUCAGAGGUGGGACUUUGGGAAGGUGAUUAGAUCUUGGGUGCUCUAUACUUAUCAGUGAAUUAACCCGCUGAUUAAUUCACUGCUAUUUGAAGGCACAGUUGGUUGGAAAAAGUAGACCAAAGAGAGUGUAACGGGGUAGAUUAUAUUCUUGUUCCUGGCUCCCUCAUCUCCUUCUGCUUGUUUCAUUGUUUCUCCCUCCCUCUUCCUCUCUCCCUUCCCCUCCCCCCUCCCCUCCCCCUUCCCUAUUUUCUGGCUCCCAAGAAGCAAAGAGCUUUCUUUUACUACGCUCUGAUCUUUCUGCUUUUGAGACAACCAACUACAAAGUAAACUUUUCUCCUUUUAGUUGUGUGUGCCAGGUAUUUUGUCCUAGCAACACAGAGUGCUUGAAUGCCUAAAGAGUGAGACUUUGUAAACACGAAAGAGUUGAUAACACAAAAUUUAAAGAGAGGAUUUUAGGAACAAGUAGAAAUGAUAUCUAGUGAACUAGUAGAGUGCUUAACCUUGGAUAGGAAUCCAAAUGUCCCUCCAUAAAAUGUCAUAGUAUAAGAGUGGAGAUUAGAUACGUGUUCAAGUGUAGCCAUGGUAGUUUCAAAACAUGUUUUCUUAUACUAUUUUAUCAGUAAAGAAGCACCAAAUAAAAGUAAGAUUGGGGCAAAUACUGUUGCAGAAUUGAAAAAGGAUAAGACACAAACACAUUUUUUAAGGAGAGGAGAGAGCUAUGGACCACAGAAUGUUGGAGAAUUAAUGUUAACACUAGCAGCUUACUUAAUAUUAUUGUCAUUAAUUUAAUAAAAAACUGUGCUUGUGUUCUAUCUCCUAAUUGUAGCUUUGCAUUUUAAGUCAGUCAGUUUUUAAUAUAAUAUUCCAACUGCACCCCCAGAUAUGUUUUAUAUGACUACAGUAUCUUUCUUUUCACAAGAUGAAAAUUUAAAACUUAUUUCAAAGAUAAUUUUAAAAUUUAGAUUCAUAAUUUAUAUGCCCUUCAAGUAAAGUUAGUAGACUUGUCUCUAAUUUGUGUAUGUUGAUAUUUGUAUAUAUGUAUGCAUGUUGGACAUAUAUGUAAGUUAUGUUUAAAUUUUAUUGUGGUAUACAUCAUUAGUAAAAUUUAUAUUUGUGCCAACUGAAUCUGAUCAAUUUCAUGCCUAUCACUCAAUUUUGAUUUACAGUGAAAUGAAUCUAUCAAAAAAUCUAUCCAUCUAAACCAUUUAUACAAGAAAUCCUCAUCUGAGUAAUGAUUUCUUCUAUGAUCUACCUGGUGUGAAAAAAUUGUAUUUGAUUUUAUUCAAAAGGCUAAACAUGUGUCAUCAAACUCACGAUCUUUCUGAAUAUCUCUUGUUUGGUUAACCAUUUGCUGUAUAAAAUAUUGAAAAGGAUACAUGUUUAUUUGCUUUUCUAGGUGCAGAAAUUUUUCUAUAGUUUAAUUAUUCACUUAAAAUAACUUUCAGACUAACUGUGUUCUACAGAGUGAGCGAUACUCUCUGGGUGCAAUGAUGUACAGCAUCAUGAGCAUUCUCUUUUCAUGACACAACUCACUCUGGUUCUCAAUACUUUUUUUCUAUGAGUUGUUGCAGUUUUCAUGGUCCUCUACAUGAACAUAAGAUGCUGUAUAAAAUCAUCUAUGAGGCUAAAAGAACUAAUCAUUAUUUCCAAUAUAAUAAAUUGCAAUAAUAGAUUUCAAGUAAAAUCACCAGAGAUUUACAAUAUUUUUUAUAAUAUUAAAUAGGAUACAAGCCCCACAAACACAUACAGAUACACAUAUACAGACACACAUAUCUACACACAUUUUUAUGCAUUUUGGUGGGAGGUGGAUAGCACAAAAGAGAUAUAUAAAUGUAUAAGUCAAUUCAUAAUUUUUGUGAAGUACUGGUUUCAAAAAUUACUUUGCUUACCUUCUGUACUUUUUGUCUUUUUUACUCUUCAAUAUUACCCACUACUUUAUCCAUAUAGUGGAUUUCAGCUUGUUACCACUAAUUAUUUAAAGCAAUGCAAGUGAAAAAAUUGCAGCCUUGCAAUAAUUAGUGUACAAUUUUCUUCUGUUAGCAUGCAGUCAAUUGAUUUAAACAUAAAAGAUUCCAUAAUAGGAUAAAUCAAUGCAAGGAGGUUAAAAAAGGAAUGAAGGAAGGAAAGAAUAAAAAGGAGGGAAGGAAGACAGGGAGAAAGAGAAGAAGGAAGGAAAUGACAUCGAUUAAUAACUUGAGAAAACACAUAUACCUAAUGUUUCAGGUCAAAAUUAUUUUUAUUAGUAGUAUUUUCAUGACAGAUGCAAUCUGAAAACUAGCAGAGAAAUCAGCAUUCGGUGCAUGACACAUUAAGAGAAUUGUCACUGAAUAUAAUGUCAAAACAUGCCAUUAUCCAAGGAAAAUUAGUUUAGUUUCUCAUAUUUUGUAGCUGUUGUACAACUGUCAAUACUAGAGUUUGUUGAUAUUUAGUACCUAUUUGGGUUGUGCUACUUCGAUGUAGCUAAAUAAUCUAUGAGGUAGGAAGACAUCGAUGAGGCACAUUCUUAUGACGAUUUAAUUAAAACCUGAUUUAAAGAUAUGACAAAAAUAAAGAAAAAUUGCUUUAUACAAACUUCUCCCCAUUAGAGGAAUAUAUGGUAAAUAAAAUUUAUUAUAUUCUUUUUUUUCCACAAUUAAGUUUAUUGGUACAUUUUAGGUAUAAAAUAUAUUUACAUUCAUCAUUGGGAUCUCGUACCAUUACAUGAGUAUCUUGGUUCUUAUUUUUUCCCCCUUCCCCUGCCUUCCCCUCAUCCCUUCACCCCUCCCAAUUUUUUUUCCCUUUCUCAUAUUUUUCUCCCCUCUUUCCCCUCCCCCUUCCCACCUACCCCGCCUCCCAGAACUUUUCUUCCUAUUACACAAUAUCAAUUACACAUUUUUAAAAUUAAAAUAUCAAGACCUAGGAGACAUUACCACAGAUUUUACAGAAUUUAAAACGAUAUAGAAAUCAUAUUACAAAAAUCUUUUUUGAAAUAAAUUUGACAACUUCUAAGAAGUACCUUGGAAGACAAAUUAAUGAAACUAACUCUGGAAGAAAUAUAAAAUUUGAAUAGCGCCUAUUAAAUAAAGUAUAUUCCUAGCUUGAAAACCUACCUAUAUGACAAUAACAGGCUCGUAUACAUUUUAUCUGAAAAUUAUAUCAUACAUUUAAAGCAGAAAAAAAAGAAACACUUCUCCCCUCAUUUUAGGAACUCAACAUUGUGCUAAUCAUAAAACUGGAUAAAGGUAAUAGAAAAAAAAUAUGAACAUAGCUAGAAAUUUGUUUAACAAAAUGAACUAUUAGAAGUCAGAUCUGGCAGUAUGUAGAAAGUGAUUUUGUUUAUAGGGCUGGCAGUGUUAGUUCAGCUUUGGAAGAUCCACCCCCAAAGGUUAUCAUUUUAACAGAGGAAAAGAAAAAGCCAUAUGAUCCUGUCACUAGUUGGAGAAAAAGUAUUGGACUAAAUUCCACAGCUGUUCAUGGUAAACGCUAUCAGGAGACUAGAAGUAGAACAGAACCUUCUCAACAGAUUAAAGACAUGCACUCCAUACUUAACAGUGAGAACACCUUAUAUGAAUGGAGAAGAUACAAUGCUUUCUCCUUCAGGUGGGGAACAAGGGCAGAUAUGCUUACUCUUUAUCUGUCCAUUAAACUUUGAAACCUAGGCCCAAUCAAAAUAGUCUGACAAUAAAAUGACACAAUUAGGAUAGGAUUGGCAAGGUAGAAGCAAAAUCUUUAUAUGUAGAUGAAAUGAUCAUCUACAGAGAAAAUACUAAGAAAUCUCUAGGAGCCCCUAGAACUUGUAUUUGAAUUUAGCAGGAUUAGAAAACACAAGGUCAGGUCUGUGUAUACUAGCUAUAAAUGAAGAAUUGGAUAUUGAAAUUUAAAAGUUAUGUAGGAGUACAAAGGACCUAGAAAAGUAAAAAAGAAAAAAAAAAGUGUUGGAAGACGUUUAGUACCUAAUUUUAAGACUUCUUCUAAAAGCUACAGUAAUCAAGGCAGUGUUGGUGUAAGGAAAGACAUAUAGAUCAUUUGAAUAAAACAGAGAAUCUAGAAAUAGAACCACACAUAUAUGGUCCACUGAGUUUUGAAAGAUUAUUUAACAUUAGCACUUUAUAGAAUAUAAAAUCAAUUCAAGAGCUGAGGAAGAGAUAGUGAUUUUAGCAAAUGGCACGAGAACACCUGGUAUCCGUAUAUAAAAAAUUAACCUCAACCCUUUAUUUCCACACAUAAAAAUAACUUGAAGGGAUCUAUGAACCUAAAUAUGAAAGCCUAAAAGUAUAAAACUUUAAGAAGAAAUUAUAAGGCAAAAUGUUUAUGAAUUUAGGGUAGGCAAGAACUACUUAGGAUACAAAAAACAUGAUGUAUAAAAGAAAAAAAUUGAUGAAUGAGAUUCCAUCAAAAUUUAGAACUUUAGAUGGCAUCAUUAAAAUGAAAAGUAGUCUUUAAACGUACCAUAUUUACAAUGCAUGUAACCUAUGACCAGAAUAUAUAAAGAACACUUACAGCUCAUUAAUAGACAACCCAAUUAAAAUGUAGACAUAAGAAGAUGAUAAAUAGCCAGUACAGCACAAGGAAAGGUGUGGAACUCUAGAAUCAGAAAAACACUGAUCAGUACAAUAACAAGAUUGAAUUAUACACUCAUUAGAGAGAUGAAGUUAAAAGUUUUAAAAGCCUUGUCAUGAGUUUUUCUUUUUGUUGGAUACUCCCCCUUUGCAUUUACUUUGUCACACACAAUGGAUUCCUUCUGCUGGGCUUCCUGGGAUUAUGAUCCUCCUUGUCUUUUCCUAGGGUAUUGUCUAAAAUUUUUUGGAGUGCUGGUUCGGUAUUCAUGAAGUUCCUGAGGUGCUCUUUGGCAUGAAAGUAUCUUAUUUCUCCAUCCAUUUUGAAAGAUAGUUUUGCAAGGUACAUCAAUCUAAGUUGGAGGCUGUUUUCCUUUAGAGCUUGAAAUACAUCACUCCAAGCUCUUCUUGCCUUGAGGGUUUGAAUUGAGAAGUCUGCUGUGAUUCUGAUGGGCUUUCCUUUGUAUGUGAUUUGUUUCUUUUCUCUCACUGCUUGUAGAAUUUUGUUCUGUUGGAUUUCUGGAAUCCUAACUAUUAUAUGCCUAUGUAUAGAUUUUUUUUUUUUAUCAAGGCUACCUGGAGUCCUAUAUGCCUCACUUAUCUGUAUGUCAAGUUCUUUUGCCCUCCUUGGGAAGUUUUCUGCCAUCACUUCUGUGAACAGAUUUUAUGUCAUCUGCACUUUCUCUUCUUUCUUCAUUGACUCCAAUCAGUCUUAUGUUAUUCUUUGAAUCAUCUGGCAGCUGCUGGAAUGAUUUCGCAUGUUCCCUUACAAUUUUAAAGCAAUUUUUCUUUUCCUGGUCACUAAUUGCAAUCUUUUCUUCUAUAUCUGAAAUUCUAUCCUCACAUUGGUUCCUCCUGCUGUGCAGACUUUCAGUGCAGUUUUUAACCUCCUGGAAAUCUGUUUGUAUCUGUUUUAUGGAUUCCAUUUGUUUCCUAUGUUGGGAUUCCAUCAUGUUCCUCAGAUCCUCUAUUUUUUUUAAUCUGUGUCCUCUCUAGAUUUAUUAAUCAUGUCUUGCACAUGAGCAAAAUCUUUGCUGUUCUUUGAGUCAUUAUUUCUGAUUUCAUUUUUCCCAUAUCCUCUUUUGUUGCCAGUUCAGAGUCCAGGUGGUUGAGUAUCAGAUUGUUCCAUCUCGAUUCCUUUUGGGGUUGCUGUAGGUGAUCUGGAAGUCUGUUUUUGAGGCUUGUUUACAUGUCUUCUCAUCCCCCCCCUGGGGGGGGGGCGCUUCUGGUGCCCUCAGGGCUCACCUCCUCUGCCCUAGGAGUGUGGAAUGGCAGCAGGGGAGCUUCUUUCUGGGUGCUGGGACUGGCCUAAAAUUUAUUAUAUUCUUAAAAAUUUACAUCAGUGCAUGUUUGAAUUAUAUAAUGUUUCCAUUCAUUUUAAAGGUAAGUACAUGUUGUUAACACAUGUUAAUUUUUUAUUUCCUUUUCACUUCCAUUGCUCUUUUCUCCUUUCAUCUCUGGAUCUUCUUCCCAUUUUCAAAAGAUCUUUCUUCUAUUUUUUUUGGCUCUCUUUAC
rnacentral:lncRNA from 1 species